rnacentral:rRNA from 1 species
AUGGGAACGCGAAGAACCUUACCUACUCUUGACAUCCAGAGAACUUAGCAGAGAUGCUUUGGUGCCUUCGGGAACUCUGAGACAGGUGCUGCAUGGCUGUCGUCAGCUCGUGUUGUGAAAUGUUGGGUUAAGUCCCGCAACGAGCGCAACCCUUAUCCUUUGUUGCCAGCGGUCCGGCCGGGAACUCAAAGGAGACUGCCAGUGAUAAACUGGAGGAAGGUGGGGAUGACGUCAAGUCAUCAUGGCCCUUACGAGUAGGGCUACACACGUGCUACAAUGGCGCAUACAAAGAGAAGCGACCUCGCGAGAGCAAGCGGACCUCAUAAAGUGCGUCGUAGUCCGGAUUGGAGUCUGCAACUCGACUCCAUGAGGUCGGAAUCGCUAGUAAUCGUAGAUCAGAAUGCUACGGUGAAUACGUUCCCGGGUCUUGUACACACCG